rnacentral:tRNA from 10 species
GGGUCGUUAGCUCAGUUGGUAGAGCAGUUGACUUUUAAUCAAUUGGUCGCAGGUUCGAGCCCUGCACGACCCACCA